GGUGGCCCCUCACAAUGGAACUGAAACACGGUCCAUACACCUACGGGUGGCAGCAGUAGGGAAUAUUGGUCAAUGGGCGAAAGCCUGAACCAGCAACGCCGCGUGUGCGGUGAAGGUCUUCGGAUCGUAAAGCACUUUUCUGGGAGAUGAGAAAGGACAGUAUCCCAGGAAUAAGCCUCGGCUAACUACGUGCCAGCAGCCGCGGUAAAACGUAGGAGGCGAGCGUUAUCCGGAUUUACUGGGCGUAAAGCGCGUGUAGGCGGUUCGGCAAGUUGGAUGUGAAAGCUCCUGGCUUAACUAGGAGAGGUCGUUCAAUACUACCGAACUUGAGGGCAUCAGAGGAAGGUGGAAUUCCCGGUGUAGUGGUGAAAUGCGUAGAUAUCGGGAGGAACACCAGUGGCGAAAGCGACCUUCUGGGAUGUUCCUGACGCUCAGACGCGAAAGCUAGGGUAGCAAACGGGAUUAGAGACCCCGGUAGUCCUAGCAGUAAACGAUGUAGACUUGGCGUCGGAGGGUUCAAAACCUUCGGUGUCGAAGCUAACGCGAUAAGUCUACCGCCUGGGGACUACGGCCGCAAGGUUAAAACUCAAAGGAAUUGACGGGGGCCCGCACAAGCAGCGGAGCGUGUGGUUUAAUUCGAUACUACACGAAGAACCUUACCCGGGUUUGACAUGUUGGUGGUAGGAAUCCGAAAGGUGACCGACCCGCAAGGGAGCCUUCACAGGUGCUGCAUGGCUGUCGUCAGCUCGUGUCGUGAGAUGUUCGGUUAAGUCCGCUAACGAGCGCAACCCUCGCUGUAUGUUACAAGUGUCAUACAGGACCGCCGGUAUCAAGCCGGAGGAAGGUGGGGAUGACGUCAAGUCAGCAUGGCCUUUAUGUCCGGGGCUACACACACGCUACAAUGGCCGGUACAACAGGUUGCUAAGCCGCAAGGUAGAGCCAAUCCCCAAAGCCGGUCUCAGUUCAGAUCACAGGCUGCAACCCGCCUGUGUGAAGUCGGAGUUGCUAGUAAACGCGCGUCAGCCAUAGUGCGUUGAAUACGUUCUCGGGCCUUGUACACACCGCCCGUCACGUCAUGGGAGCUGGUAACACCUGAAGCCGGUAGCUUAACCGCAAGGAGGGCGCUGUCGAAGGUGGUGCUGGUGACUGGGACGAAGUCGUAACAAGGUAGGAGUACCGGAAGGUGCGCCUGG
rnacentral:rRNA from 1 species